GACGAACGCUGGCGGCGUGCUUAACACAUGCAAGUCGAACAGUGGCGAACGGGUGAGUAAUAUAUCGGAACGUGCCCAGUAGCGGGGGAUAACUACUCGAAAUAGUGGCUAAUACCGCCUACUAUUGGAGCGGCCGAUAUCGGAUUAGCGAGUUGGGGGGGUAAAGGAUCACCAAGGCAACGAUCCGUAGCUGGUUUGAGAGGACGACCAGACACACUGGGACUGAGACACGGCCCAGACUCCUACGGGAGGCAGCAGUGGGGAAUUGUGGACAAUGGGGGAAACCCUGAUCCAUCCAUCCCGCGUGUAUGAGAAGGCCUUCGGGUUGUAAAGGACUUUUGGCAGAGAAGCGGUAUCUGCAGAAUAAGCACCGGCUAACUACGUGCCAGCAGCCGCGGUAAUUC
rnacentral:rRNA from 1 species